AUGAUGGAAUUACAAGACACAGCCUUUUGGAAGUGGAUAGGCCACAAGGGAAUGGGAUUCAUGUCCUUGUGAAAGAGCCCAAGAGGCCUCUGCCACCACGUGAAAAUGGGCUCUUAUCAGACAAGAAUGCCAACACCGUGCCUUGAACUUCCAGCCUUCAGAACAUUGAGAAAUCAGUGUUCACGCUAUUGAUAUAAAUUUGAUCUACAUGUGAAAGCUCCACCCUGUAAAAGAUCCAGAUGAGAAAUGACUGUGUCAGACUCAAAUGAGCAAAGAUACAUCACUUGCCAAGAACUCCCCUCGACCCUUCCACAGGAGCAGCUGUUACACUGAUACCUACUUGGUGGGGCUGCAGGUGUGCAAAGCCUUCAAGUGUGGCUUCCAGGUUGCAAUGGAAACGGAUUUCUCAUCUGCUGCAUAACUGCGCCAAACACACUGCAUGUGGCAUAGACGAGGUCGGAAAAAGAGACGUGCCUUGGAUCCACCGUGAAUUGGUCUAGCCUCUCCAGGACGAGACCUGUGACAUGAAGCUUCAGAAGAAUCUUUAAGGACUAAUCCCAAGGUUCCAUAAUGCAGAAAGGGGAAUGCAGCACUGCUUUUGAAAGGAGUAAAGAUUUGGAUUUGAACAGAUGGGAUUCUAAUCUAUCCCCACCUAGACUUGUCUUGAGGAUCAAGUGACAUAAUGCAUUGGACGCACUCGGCAAACUGCAAAGUACUUCAUGAGUCUUAGGUGUUAUUAAUGAAAGUUGUGACAUUUGGGCAGGCAUUCAAAAAUGUUACCGAAAGCUGAUUUCGUUUCUCAGACUGCUCCACUUGAAAUGAAAAGUUAAUUUCAAUGAAUCAUGUGAAGAUAUUGACAGAGCUAAAUGUGCUGCAAACUGCCAGGGGUUUAAACUUGUCACCAAAACCUUAAAAUGCUAGUUAAUUUAGUUCUUUCACCAACCAAAGAACAAAGCAAUCUGGGCAUCUCUCUUGCCCUUAUAAGCAGAUAGUGUCUUUGGUUUAAAACAAAUGAGAUCACUUUUGCUCUUGAUGCCUUUUAUGCUCAGCAAACCAAGUCAAGUUUAUCAGGUAGGAAUAUGAAUGGAUCAGCAUAUGAGAUAUGAUUUUUCAAUAGAGUGUACCCUUAAAAAUAACUUUCUAAAAUCUAUAAUUAAGGCCCAAAGCUCUGAAUCUUGCCCAAAGACUGUAUCAAGAAUAGUGAGCAAAACAUUGUCACAUUAUUAUUCUUAUGCAUGAUAAAUUGAUGGCAUUGAAUGAGGAAACAGUCGCUUUUUAAAUUAGCAAAUUCGAUUUUGAUUUUUGAAACUACAGUCAGUUUUAAAGGCAUUCUUAAAUGUAUCACUCCUUACAUUGUACAUUCUUUUCUGCUAAGAACAACAUAAAAUCUGAACUUUUAAAUCAGAGAAAAUUUCAUGAUUUGGGUGUAUUACUAUCUACAUUUUUACAAGUUCAAUUGCUGAUUCAAACAUGUUUUAUAUAUUCAGUUACAAAAAAUAAAAUUUUAAGCCUCUAGGCAAAACUGUUCAAUUAGCAUCUUCUCUAUGUUUUAUGGGUAACCUAGCUUUAUUUUGAGGAGGCCUAGCUUUAUUUUGGAUGUGUACAUAGAAAUACGUCUGCUCUGAUGAUUUAAUGCAGAAAUAGCAAUUUAUUUUUAAGUUCUACUGGAAAUUGCUAACUUAGAAGUUUAUAAUGACAAAUAGAUAAAAGUAUUUCUGCUUCCUUUGUCACCACUGAUCUUGUGCAAUGUGUUAGUCAAUAGGUAGUUACAACCAGUGAACAUUUGGGAAGUAUCAAGUGCUACAAGUUUUAGAUUUAAUGAAUUUUUAUUUAAAUAGCUGCAAGUAACUAGUGAUUACCAUAUUUGUCAUCAUCAUUGCUCUACAGCAUCACAACUGAUACAUGCAUCAGAAACUUCUCCAAGGGCUUAUUUUUUUUCUUUCUUUCUUUUUUUUUCCUCCAAGAGCUCACUUCCUAACACAGCAGCUGAUCCUCUAAGAGGUUUUAUGUCCGGAAAGUGUGUUACUGGUUUCAUAUGUAGACAGGCCUUGGUGUCCAGAUGAAAUAAAAAGCCCUUUAAGAUACUUUUAGUUCUCAUGGGUUGGAAAGUAUUGUUCUAGAGUAAAGGGAAAUUAAGGAUAAGAAUAGUAAAGAGCAAAAUUAGUUAGCUGUAUGGAAGCAUGAACCACCAGAUAAAAGUACUAAAGGAUGAAAGGCUCUGAGUCCUGGGCCUCAGGGAGACAGGUGCAUGACCUGGUGUGUAACUCCUUUUCUCAUUCUGGACACUAUUGUUUGUCACCAGUUUCUAAAUUCCUACUACUUAGGGACCCUUUCCUUUAAGGAAAUGAAGUUUAGUUUCUGUUUUACACAACUAGGAAAUUUUAAAAAUGAAAACUCAGUUAUUUUCAUUAGAGGUCAUACCCAAUGACAUAUUUUUACAUAUUUUUUGUCAAUAUGUAGUUGCAGAAUAACUUGAUUAGAAAAUGAAUGCCCUAAUUUAGUCUUUAGAUACAAAGAGACCUUCAUGAUUCUUGGGAGCUGUACUCCUUGAUCUCUCCUCUAGCUCCAUUCCUUUUGGAGGGGCUGCAUACCACAGCUACAGAUCAAGGCUGAUAUUGAUAUUACUUUCUAUUAACUUGGUCACUCAAAUCUGCAAUCUCAAUUAAAGCAACAUGCUUGUUACUGCAACAUGGAGACACAUCUCUUAGGAUCUUGGUUUGCGAUCCCAAACAGCUCCAAUUUAGAAGUUCUAAAACUUCAUCUGUCUGGCAGGAGGAGAAAAAUGUAACUGUAGAAUCAUCUUGCCCAUAAUUAAAUGCCAAUUCGAUAUUAUGGGUCUGGAAAAUAAUAUAAUUUGUGAUUCUUUACUUGGUUUUACUUCCAAAAGAUGUGGACAAUGAAAGGAGAAGCAUUUCUUUUAGAACUAAAGCAAGUCCUGAAUUCAGGAAAGAAAAUGCUAAGUCAUGUUGGUCUUCUAAUAACAUGCUUAUUGUUUCAUAUUCUCCAUAAUCCUUCCAGCUCUUAACAUAGGAUACUAUUUCAAGUUAUUUCCCCACAUGGCAUUAAAAGAAGUUCCUCAGGUACUAGAGCUUGAUAUUCUAAACAGGUAGAUUGUUUUUCAGAACGAUGGUAAACAUUGGCUGAGAAAGUAAUUGUAAUGCAGGCUGUACCACUUAGUGGUCAGUUAUGUUCCGCCUUGUAAUUGGUAAGACAUCCUAGGUCAUUCCCAGAGCAGCACAGCUGCUAACCUCCACACAUCCUUGCUACAUGGUUAAUUGUUUGAACAGUGCAUGGUGUAUUUUUCUGUUUGGGAGAAGGGAAACAUCUGCCCAGACCCAAGUCCUGUCUUCAUUUUUAGAAAGGCAAUGAAGCACAGAGACUGGAAAGCCACUCGCCAGGCAUCCGUGGAGACAGAUGUUGCCAUCUUCCUAUUGCACUGACAUUUACCUGAAUG